rnacentral:rRNA from 1 species
CCUACGGGAGACAGCAGUGAGGAAUAUUGGUCAAUGGGCGGGAGCCUGAACCAGCCAAGUCGCGUGAGGGAAGACGGUCCUAUGGAUUGUAAACCUCUUUAGGCGGGGAGCAAUGCCGGGCACGCGUGCCCGGAGGGAGAGUACCCGCAGAAUAAGCAUCGGCUAACUCCGUGCCAGCAGCCGCGGUAAUAAGGAGGAUGCGAGCGUUAUCCGGAUUUAUUGGGGUUAAAGGUUGCGGAGGCGGAUUUUUAAGUCAGCGGUAAAAUGUCCGGGCUCAACCCGGGCCGGCCGUUGAAAUUGGGGAUCUUGAGUGGGCGAGAAGUAUGCGGAAUGCGUGGUGUAGCGGUGAAAUGCAUAGAGAUCACGCAGAACUCCGAUUGCGAAGGCAGCAUAACGG